CAAGUCGAACGAGUUCUGAUUAUUGAAAGGUGCUUGCAUCUUGAUUUAAUUUUGAACGAGUGGCGGACGGGUGAGUAACACGUGGGUAACCUGCCCUUAAGUGGGGGAUAACAUUUGGAAACAGAUGCUAAUACCGCAUAAAUCCAAGAACCGCAUGGUUCUUGGCUGAAAGAUGGCGUAAGCUAUCGCUUUUGGAUGGACCCGCGGCGUAUUAGCUAGUUGGUGAGGUAACGGCUCACCAAGGCAAUGAUACGUAGCCGAACUGAGAGGUUGAUCGGCCACAUUGGGACUGAGACACGGCCCAAACUCCUACGGGAGGCAGCAGUAGGGAAUCUUCCACAAUGGACGCAAGUCUGAUGGAGCAACGCCGCGUGAGUGAAGAAGGCUUUCGGGUCGUAAAACUCUGUUGUUGGAGAAGAAUGGUCGGCAGAGUAACUGUUGUCGGCGUGACGGUAUCCAACCAGAAAGCCACGGCUAACUACGUGCCAGCAGCCGCGGUAAUACGUAGGUGGCAAGCGUUAUCCGGAUUUAUUGGGCGUAAAGCGAGCGCAGGCGGUUUUUUAAGUCUGAUGUGAAAGCCCUCGGCUUAACCGAGGAAGUGCAUCGGAAACUGGGAAACUUGAGUGCAGAAGAGGACAGUGGAACUCCAUGUGUAGCGGUGAAAUGCGUAGAUAUAUGGAAGAACACCAGUGGCGAAGGCGGCUGUCUGGUCUGUAACUGACGCUGAGGCUCGAAAGCAUGGGUAGCGAACAGGAUUAGAUACCCUGGUAGUCCAUGCCGUAAACGAUGAAUGCUAGGUGUUGGAGGGUUUCCGCCCUUCAGUGCCGCAGCUAACGCAUUAAGCAUUCCGCCUGGGGAGUACGACCGCAAGGUUGAAACUCAAAGGAAUUGA
rnacentral:rRNA from 2 species